CGUAGGUGGCAAGCGUUGUCCGGAUUUACUGGGCGUAAAGCGUAUGCAGGCGGAGCUUUAAGUAGGAAGUGAAAGGUUGGAGCUUAACUCUAACACUGCUCCCUAUACUGGGGCUCUUGAGUGCCGGAGAGGAAGACGGAACGACACGUGUAGCGGUGAAAUGCGUUGAGAUGUGUCGGAACACCAAUGGCGAAAGCAGUCUCUGGACGGAUACUGACGCUGAGAUACGAAAGCCAAGGUAGCAAACAGGAUUAGAUACCCUGGUAGUCUUGGCCAUAAACGAUGUUCACUAGGUGUCGGGGGUCUCCCUCGGUGCCGCAGCUAACGCAUUAAGUGAACCGCCUGGGGACUACGGCCGCAAGGUUG
rnacentral:rRNA from 1 species